rnacentral:tRNA from 1 species
GGGGCUGUGGGGUAGCUUGGUUCAGAGCAGUAUCUUGCCUGAUAGCAAUUAUCCUUUCUGGCUUGGGACCAGAGGACCCCGGUUCAAAUCCGGGCAGCCCCA